ACCAAGAACUCAUAAGUGGGAUGAAGAGCUGAUGUAGCUUAAUGACUGACGUAGGGUGUGAAGAGCAUGGUAAGCAUUCUGGAAUCAGAAAGCAAAGGAGGGGCUAGUAAAUCUGGAGAGAAAACUUAGUAACAGAAUGAAGGGAAGAGCAUAACGGAUAGGCUCUUUCAGAAGAAUCUCUGGAUAAAAAUAUUAAGCUAAGGAGACACAUGGAAAAGCAGGUGGGCCAAAGGAAGGCCCCUCUCUACCACCCUGCAUCCUUUGCUUUAUUUUAUGAAAGAGGUUUGAGAUAGGGAGAUUUCAUUUCAAACCACACACUCUUAAACAGUUCCCCAAAUCCCAGCCAAAAAGAGAAAGAUGGCCCUGUGGUUGGUCAGGUUCAUCUGCCCAGGAAACAGGUCACUAAGUGUGGUGCUUGGGGGUGUGGUCUCCAUGGUUUACAAGCUGAUGAGGAGUUACCAAACCGCAGGGUGGAAUGGGAAACUCAGCCCAAACAACUUGCCCCGGGCUCCAGGCCACGCCUGGGCUCUGCCGAGUCAUGCUCAGGCGCCUGCACUAAUGUGACCCGCUGUUUGUUCUCAACUCUGCACCUGCUCUCAGCUCCUCCUGCCUGUCUGCUGCUUGGGUGGGGCUCUCUCUGACUCAUGCUUGGAGAGCAGAGGGGUGCUUUCCUGGUAAGGAGCAGGUCAGUCUUUUUAUGAAGACAAGCUGUAAUCAAUCAGCUGGGUGUAAGAUGGGGUUUUCACCCUUUCCAAGCUGCAUGAACUCCAGCCACCCCUAGGAGGAGACAACAUAUCGCACAUCUUAACAAUUGGCUGUCACCUGACCAGGAGUCCACGUCUUCAAUUCUCAGGUUGUAUGCUGCCGGCUGACCAAUGUGCACCAGCUAACUAGACCUCAAUGUCUCCACCAGCAAAGCCAGGAGCUUGUCCCUCCCUCCAUGAAUCAAGCCUAGGAAGCUGAGAUGGAACAAAAAAAGGAAAGGAAAAGGAAGAAAAGGUGACUUUGAGUUUACGCUGCCCUUCUUAUCAUCUAAGAUUUUUCUGAAAUUCCUUCAACAACUAAGGAAAACCACACACACUAAAAAAAUCCAACCCGACAGCUUGCAGUAGCCUGGGAUUCCAGAACAAAUACUCAAAUUGGCAGGACACAUAGUAUCCUUCCUCUCAGUGGGUCACGUGAAGACAUUGCCCAACAUCUGUCAUGUGCGUCUGGGAAUAUAUAUUUAUUUCUUGCUGAAUGCUCAGAUACCUCUUUCUGGUGCCCAAAAGAACUGCUACAUCCUACCUUCUGAUCGAAUCUAAAAAUGCCAUCAAAAUCUGGCCUCAAAGACCUACAAAUUCUUUUAAAUAUAGGAUGCUUCAGUAUCCUCCCAACCUCCUAAGAGAAUGAGAUGAAAUCAUGCCAAAUGUUGAGUAAAUGGGAGGGGUUUUUCAGUGGAAAUCAUAAUGCUAUGCUGUGGCCACAUGUUCACAAUACUUUGGGGGUGGGAGAGUGAUCCCUCUGCCUGGAUAGGCUGGAAGGCUAUGUAACAUUUUGUUCAGGGGAAAUACAGUCCAGAUUCAAGAGUCAAGACCAAAUCAUAAGACUCACUGGAGUCAAACACUGGUACCACCAGCCCAACUGCUUCUAGACAGCUGUGCGUUCACCCUAACAAAACCACUUAGAACAUACCUAUAUGGAAAAAAACAAAGCAAAAUCUAGACAUCCACUGAAUCUCAGCAUGUGGCCUCUCAGAAAACUGAUCCAUAAAUCACUUAAUAUCUGAUGAUUAUUCCCAAGAGCUGGUGAAGGUGGCUUUAACCACCGAAGGGAUAAUAAUAUAGUGAAUUAAUUACUCAUUUUAUCACCAAUUGCCAAAUUAUUAUUGAAAACAGCUGUUUUUUACCAAUUCAGGAAGACAUUCAAGACCUAGUACUGAGUGGGGAGGUAGACUACAGAAGUUUUUGUGGCGAAAAUAACCACCAAACUAUGUGAUAGAAUAAAACCUUGAGAAACA